rnacentral:rRNA from 1 species
AUUGAACGCUGGCGGCAGGCUUAACACAUGCAAGUCGAGCGGAAGAAGGGUGCUUGCUCCUGGAUUCAGCGGCGGACGGGUGAGUAAUGCCUAGGAAUCUGCCUCGUAGUGGGGGAUAACGUCUGGAAACGGGCGCUAAUACCGCAUACGUCCUGAGGGAGAUAGUGGGGGAUCUUCGGACCUCACGCUAUCAGAUGAGCCUAGGUCGGAUUAGCUAGUUGGUGGGGUAAAGGCCUACCAAGGCGACGAUCCGUAACUGGUCUGAGAGGAUGAUCAGUCACACGGGAAGUGGAACGCGGUCCAGGCUCCUACGGGAGGCAGUAGUGGGGAAUGUUGGACAAUGGGCGAAAGCCUGAUCCAGCCAGGCCGCGUGUGUGAAGAAGGUCUUCGGAUUGUAAAGCACGUUAAGUUGUGAGGAAGGGCAGUAAGUUAAUACCUUGCUGUUUUGACGUUACCAACAGAAUAAGCACCGGCUAACUACGUG